CAAACACGAAGCUCUUCCAGAAACGCCCUCACAGACACCCCGGAAGUCACGUACCCACUCUGUAGGUGCCCCGGGGCACAGGCAAGCGGACGAGCCAGUUAUCCCUCAGAGCUCCUGCUGCCUCGCCCGCUUUCUCUCGGAAACGUGAAGUGUGGCCUCAGCUGAAAGUGAGGUGGGCCUCAUUCAAUCAGUUGAAUUCUUCAAGAGAGAAAAACUGAAGUCCCUUAGAAGGAAAGAGUUCUGCCUUCAGACUGUCUUUGAACUUAAGACUGUAGCGUCGACUCCUGCCGGAAUUUCCAGCCUGCUGGCCAGCUCUGCAGAUUCACACUUGCCAGCCUCCACAAUCGCAGCUGAGGCGGAGGAACCCUAAGGGCUCAUUGAGAUCAUGGAUUUGCCCUUCUAUGCAUUGAUGGAGCACCUGCUGCCCACAGCGUCUGUAUUUGGUGCUGGGAUGCUGAGGACACUGAGAUCUUCAAACAGAGGCUGCCACUCUAAGCAAACAGAUCCCGAGCCCUGGACUCUGAAGCUUGGGCCCAGUUCUCCUUUUCUCCGGGUUUCAGAUCCCACUGUGAAGUGAGGGGGCCCUUCUGAUUCAGGACCCGGGGAAGCCAGGGGCAUGAGCAUCGGUGCCUCUUCUCUAUUUCAAGGACCCUUCUGGGUGUAAAGUUCUCUGAGAUGCCUUACAUGGAUUCCCACCACUGCAAGAUAACCAUCGUAUGUAAAGUGUUAUGACCAGCAGAGCGUAAUUGAAGUGCAUUCCAGAGGGAAAGACAGCGGCUCAGGUUCUACCUUCCAUUUACAAAAACAUGGGGAAUAGAAGAUGAACUCAAAUGACACCACAAGGAACAACCAGACAAAUCAUCUACGGCUGGAAUGUACAGGACAAGUAAUAUAAUGUUGGGAAAAAA
rnacentral:lncRNA from 1 species